CACGUAGGGGGCCAGCGUUGUCCGGAAUUACUGGGCGUAAAGAGCGCGUAGGCUGUUUGGUAAGCGGAGGGUGAAAUUCCGGGGCUCAACCCCGGAGCUGCUCUCCGAACUGCCAGACUAGAGUUUGGGAGAGGGUAGUGGAAUUCCUGGUGUAGCGGUGGAAUGCGUAAAUAUCAGGAAGAACACCUGUGGCGAAGGCUGCUACCUGGAACAAUACUGACGCUGAGGCGCGAAAGCUAGGGGAGCGAACGGG
rnacentral:rRNA from 1 species